AACGAACGCUGGCGGCGUGCCUCAUACAUGCAAGUCGAGCGCGAAAGGCCCCUUCGGGGGACGAGUAGAGCGGCGCACGGGUGAGUAACACGUGGGUAAUCUACCUUCAGGACUGGGAUAACCCGGGGAAACUCGAGCUAAUACCAGAUAAGACCACGCGACGAGAGUCGUGUGGGAAAAGCAGGGGAUCUCUUCGGAGACCUUGUACCGGAAGAUGAGCCCGCGGCCCAUCAGCUAGUUGGCGGGGUAAAGGCCCACCAAGGCAAAGACGGGUAGCUGGUCUGAGAGGAUGAUCAGCCACACUGGAACUGAGAAACGGUCCAGACUCCUACGGGAGGCAGCAGUAGGGAAUCUUGCGCAAUGGGCGAAAGCCUGACGCAGCAACGCCGCGUGAGUGAUGAAGGUCUUCGGAUCGUAAAGCUCUGUCGGAGGGAACGAUGCCCUCGUUGGCUAACAUCCAACGGGGGUGACGGUACUCUCAAAGGAAGCACCGGCUAACUCUGUGCCAGCAGCCGCAGUAAAAC
rnacentral:rRNA from 1 species